AUUGAACGCUGGCGGCAUGCCUUACACAUGCAAGUCGAACGGCAGCACGGGAGCAAUCCUGGUGGCGAGUGGCGAACGGGUGAGUAAUAUAUCGGAACGUGCCCAGUCGUGGGGAGUAACGUAGCGAAAGCUACGCUAAUACCGCAUACGAUCUAUGGAUGAAAGCGGGGGAGUCGCAAGACCUCGCGCGAUUGGAGCGGCCGAUAUCAGAUUAGGUAGUUGGUGAGGUAAAGGCUCACCAAGCCGACGAUCUGUAGCUGGUCUGAGAGGACGACCAGCCACACUGGGACUGAGACACGGCCCAGACUCCUACGGGAGGGCAGCAGUGGGGGAAUUUUUGGACAAUGGGCGCAAGCCUGAUCCAGCAAUGCCGCGUGCAGGAUGAAGGCCUCGGUUGUAAC
rnacentral:rRNA from 1 species